rnacentral:lncRNA from 1 species
AAAUAUCUAGUUUUCAUAUGAUGAUAUAUUAUAAGUAGUAUUAGUAUGUAGAGUUAUACGCAUCACUGAAUAUAUAUCAGUCCGGCUAAGAUACUAUCGAUAGCACCAAAGGUUUGAUGCUAUCGAGUUUUCCACCCUUAGAUUUAACCCUUUGAUUAUUUUUACCCGUUAGAUUAUGCUUUUCAACCAACCACCCACUCAACGCUAGGGGACCCUCAUCAUCAUAACUGUACAUUUCUCAAUCCAAGGGCUAAAAAACUAAUAGCAUCAAUAACUUGUUACUAUUGAUAGUAUUUCAGUCUAGUUUAAUGUGUACUACGCAUUAUAUUAUAUGCAUUACAACUUUUGAUGCUAUG